GAUGAACGCUGGCGGCGUGCCUAAUACAUGCAAGUCGAGCGAACAGACGAGGAGCUUGCUCCUAUGACGUUAGCGGCGGGCGGGUGAGUUACACGUGGAUAACCUACCUCUAACACUGGGAUAACUUAGUGAAACCUGAGCUAAUCCCGUAGAAUAUAUUGGACCGCAUGGUUCAAUAGUGAAAGACGGUUUUGCUGUCUCUUAUAGAUUGAUCCGCGCUGCAUUGGCUAGUUGGUAAGGUAACGGCUUACGAAGGCAACGAUGCGUAGCAGACAUGAGAGGUGGAUCGGCCACAAUGGACAUGAGAACCGGUCCAGACUCCUACGGGAGGCAGGAGUAGGGAAUCUUCAGCAAUGGGCGAAAGCCUGACGGAGCAACGCGGCGUGAGUGAUGAAGGUCUUCGGAUCGUAAAACUCUGUUAUUAGGGAAGCACAAAUGUGGAAGUAACUAUGCACGUCUUGACGGUACCUAAUAAGAAAGACACGGCUAACUACGU
rnacentral:rRNA from 1 species